AUCUGUAAAGAAAGCAGCAGACACAUUUGAUAACUGGACAAACACAGAAAUCCAAGAGAGAGAUGACACGGACAUUGAAGUGGAGGCCACACUGCCACAAAAGAGGAGGAGGAAGAAGAACGUUUUGCCUGGAGAGAUGGCUCAGGAUGAGACCCUGGAUGAUGCAGAAAAAUCCGAUGAGGUGAAUGUGCAUAACCGGAUCAUGGACCCAGCAAUUGAAGGCAUUCAUAGGCGUUUUUUAACACACAGCAAUCUAUAUGCUGACUUGGAAUGUCUGGAUCCCAGAAACUUCCCUCAGCUCUGCACCAGUCUGCCCUUCAAGACUUAAGCAAGGGCUUGCAAGGAUUUGACAGCAGGGCAACCAAGGAAAAUAUGCAGGCUGAGUUGAAAAGCUUUGCACUCCAGUGGAACAGGCUGAAGGCAUCCCCAUUGGCAGAGUACAAGGCAAGAAGCGUAUAAGAUGGAUCAGGUGGUGAGGAGGACAACACAGAGGUUGAGAUAACUCCCAUAAGCUGUUACUCCUGCAAAUAAUGCCCUAUGUGCUGCUACCAGAUACUUCACCGUUUCAACAUGCUGACAGAUGCAUACCCUGUCCUAGGCCUUGCUUAGAAAUACCUGCUUACAUUAUCCUUCGCGCAAGUGGCUUGUGAGCGCACAGUUUCAAUUUUGAAGUUUCUUAAAAACAGACUCAGAAGCACCCGCUCAUCUGAUAAAUUGGAGGCAUUUAUGUUGAUGGCCACAGAGAAAGACGUUGUCAUGGCCUUGGACUCUGACUCUGUGAGAAGAGAAGAGUGAGCUGCUUAAAAAGCUGCUCCACUGAUAAGGCGAGAAAUAUUUAAUAUUAUUGUUAUUAUCACACAUCACACAAAAUGGAUGUAGUAAUUCAUUAUUUGUCAUUUUAAUGAUGCUUUUAGAAGUUUUAUUGUGCUUCUGUGUUGAUCCUUAAUGGUGUGAUCAUGUCCACUAAAUUAUCAAUUAUUUUCCAUUACAGGUUGUUCUGAUAUAUUUGAGGAGUAGUUCUCCCUCUGUUCUAUAUGUGGACUUGUUCUCUCAUUUGGGACCACUGUUAGAAUUUGGUUGACCACUUGACAUGUGAGAGCUUGAGGAGUUGUUCCCCCUCCGUCCAUGUUUGAGGACUGGCUCUCUCUCUGCCUCCACUGCACCAAUGUUUGGCUGUUGAGUCUCCUCUAGUAUGUGACGGCGGAUGUGGAUCUUUCUGGAAAUAAGUUUGACAGAAGUCACAGUGGACGACGACGGAC